ensembl:lncRNA
GGGGGCCCUCAAAACCCAACAUGUUCUUAAAAGAUUUGUUGCAUUCCUUUUCUCAUAGAGUAACUCAGUUCUUCUAAACUACUUCGUUCAGAGGUUUUGGAACAGCUCCUCUCACCAGAUGUGGGGCAGCGCCUUCCCCCAAGUGGCCACAAUCCCCCCCCCCCGACACACAAGUCCCCGUCUCUGAAAGGACACCGAAACCCCUCGAGCCACAAACCUAUGCGUUAGAAAAAGGAAACACACUCGGCAGGAUGAUGUCGACGACCGAGUCUGCUAAGGAGCCACGUUGGCUGCCCCCCUCCUCCCGAACUCCUUCGAGGAGCCUCAAGAAAGGGGGGAAACCCCUUUAAAUAUCGGAUGACACCGCAAACCGGUGGGUGGGCGGGCGAGCCACCUUUAUUGCAAGAACUCCUAUGGGGACGUCUAGCCUUGUAAUUACGGGGCAGUAAAACCCACAGGGUCUUGCGGCAGCUCAAGGGCUAACACAAGUCUCCUCCUCGUCGUCGUCGUCCCCCGCCCCUCUCCUCGGAGCUUAGCCGUGCCCACCCUUGCUGCUACCCUCGGGACAGGCCCCACUCAGAGAACUGGGCACCCUUUUCUACUCCCGCAAAACAUGUACCAGCACUACCGCCAAAAAGCCGGAAAGCCUCCACGCCGUCCAAGCCCGGCCCCCAAGGUCUGAAACCGGCUCCCCUCAUUCCGCGGCCACAAGAGGAGGGAGGGAGGGGAAAGCCCAUGCACAGUUUAUGCGCGGACCUGGGAGCGUCUGUACUGUCGUGACGUUCGCCUUCGGAGAGUCCUCCUACGCCGAUUGGCCGUGCUCUGGAGCCACGUGACGGCGCGGCGGGGAAACGGGCUUGGAGCGAGAUCCCCUGGCUAAGGUAGGACGGCGGGGAAAUAGGAGAGAGUUAUAACUGCGCAUGUGCGGUCGGCGUUGGAGGAGGAAGCGGCGUGAGAGGAGGACCCGGGUCGGCUUGGCAGUUGUGGUGCUUUUACAGGGCAGUGGGAACUGGUGCAGGAGGAAGAAGAAGGAGGUGGGCUCCAGUUUGUCUUUCUUCACAAAAUUAGAUUUGAACUAUGAGGAUUAACCAAAACACAGUACUACAGGGGAAGAGGGUUACCCUGGUACCAUAUACUGCUGCACAUGUACCCAGGUAUUAAACAGAUAAUUUCCUCCACCUUCAUGAAGGGAUAUAGUUUGAGAGCUCUGGUUUGACAUGGUCUUUGUUUUAAUAAUCCUAGGAAAUGAAAUAUUUGCAAUAUUAAAAGGUUUAUCAAGUUCCAUUUGAACUAGAGGACAUAGGGAUAGAUUGUUUAUAACAUACCUGUUUAAGUUUUCCAUGGAGGCUGUUUGAUAUUAUCCAGUCAGACUUUGCAUUAUAGCCCCUAAGUGUCUGUACUACAUCUCGUAUCAGUGUCAGAACCACUCAACUUUAGUUCACUGACAAGCACUGCAAUGCUUAUACAUUCCAUUUCUUGCUUUACAGUUUCCAGUUUACCUUGAUUCAAACUUGUCCUUUUUCAAUGUUCCAAUUGUAUGCCUUAUGCAGCAUUGGAGUUUCCUUUCACUUUUGUGCAUUUCAGCCACUAGAUAUCUUUUCAGUUUUAAUCUAGUUACAUCAUUAAUGACAGAGCUAUUAGUACUUGUCAUUUGCUCAUCCUAAGUAGCUGAUUGAGUACGUUCCAACCUGGGAGUC